rnacentral:rRNA from 1 species
UACAGAGGUCUCGAGCGUUAGGCGGAAUCACUGGGCUUAAAGCGUGUGUAGGCGGAUCGUUAAGUGCCUUGUGAAAUCCCACGGCUCAACCGUGGAACUGCUGGGCAUACUGGCGAUCUUGGGCCAACUAGGGGCAGUCGGAACAAGCGGUGGAGCGGUGAAAUGCGUAGAUAUCGCUUGGAACGCCGAAGGUGAAAACAGACUGCUGGGGUUGCGCCGACGCUGAGACACGAAAGCCAGGGGAGCAAACGGG